rnacentral:pre_miRNA from 1 species
ACAAGUUCUGACCGUCGGUCUACCGAGCAAUAUCACGCGCUCGGUGGAAGAUCUUCCCUCCGUCGU